GAACAAAACUCUGAUCUCUCCCUGGGAUGGAGACCCAGUGGGGCGGGGCAGCUGAUGUCUCUGUGGUUCUGUCGACUCAGCCUUCCCAGACUGCUGGCUCUGGAGAGUCCAGGCAGUCUGGACAAGGAAACGCUACCCCCAACACGGUACACCUGCUGUACAGAAAAGCAGCCAGACUGCCUCUUUAAGCGUGUCCCUGAUCUUGUCCUUCCUGAUGGGGUGAGAACUUCAAACAGGGGUCUCCAAACACCUUCUACAGGAGCAUCCAGGCUGACAACAGAGCUUCUCUCGCAUCUUGGACUCUCAGGCUGCAGAUCAAUCACAAUGCCAUAGAACACAGAUGACACUUUCCCCUGCUUUGGAGACCCGUUGUUCCCAUGGUGUAGAUACAUGUAAGAGGGAGUGCCAUAGAAAAUGACAACUGCUCGUCAGGUGGGAAGCUCACAUGAAGAAGCCUUGUGUCCUUCCUGCAGUGGAAGACAUCUUCGGGAUAGCAGCCAGGGUAUAUACCUGGGAAAAGAUGACCACCAUCAAUCACAGUGGUGUUCAGGAGCUUUCAGUUCUCAUGCCCCCACAGAAACAAUGACUGACAACCAUUCACAGAUGAGAGCACCUUUGUGGAGCCCGGAAGGCCAGCAGAGAGGUCCAAGCAUCCUGCUGAAGAAAAGAAUCUGAACAUAGACACUUUAAAGAGGAUAAGAAAAGCAGUUUCAUUUUACCAGCAUCGGCCUCCCUCAAGGCAGCACAGCUUAAUGUCAAAGAGACCUGCACCUCCAGUGAUUUCUCCCAUAGGGGAAAGUGAGACCUUCUCCAGCCUAAGGGGUUCUUUUCUUUCUCACCUCACCCAGAAUACUGAAUGAAUGACUCAAUAGUCCUGGGACAAUUCGGGGCAGGGGCUCACAGCAACAUGGGUGCAGUACAUAAAGCGUUAUUGUUUCCACUGGCUGCUCUGCAGAAUCCACCAAGAGGCUGCUCACAAACCUUCCAGGACAUAUCACCUGUGGAGGCCACAACAAGACCAUGGUUGUGUCUGGUAUUUUGCCUGCCCUCUCCCCAUAGAUGUGCCUGCAAGAGCCUCUGCAGCUCAUACACCAAAAACACACACAGACAGCCAACUAGACUGCUCUGGGUUGGGAGAAGAUACUUUAAGCACUUCAUGUCACUGCCCUAGGAAAAAUAAAUUGGAGAUUCUCAGUACCCAGCAUGGUUUUAAGGCUUGAGAGAAAGUAUACAAUCGUAACACUUCCUCGUGGAGAGGGAACAAAAGGAGUGGAGUUGGUGUAUCCAUAGGAUAAGUCUGAGAUUCCACAUGCAAGUGAGAUCAUGCAGUAUUUCUUUCUUCAUCUGGCUGAUUUCACUUAGCACAGUGUUCUCCAGGUUCCUCCAUGCUGUUGCAAAUGGCAGGAUUUCCUUAUUUUUAAUGGCUGAAUAAUAUUCCAGUGUCUAUAUAUAUCAUGUUUUCUUUAUCCAUUCAUCUGCUGACCAACAUUUGUUUACGUAUCUUGACUAUUGAGACUAGUGCUGCAAUGAACAUUACAGAUGAGAGUGCAGAUAUGUAUUCGACAUACUGAUUUCAUUUCCUUUGGAUAUACACCCAGAAGUGGGAAUGCUGAAUCAUAUGGUAGUUCUAUUUUUAACUUUUUGAGGAAGCUCUGUACCAUUUUUACAAUGCUUGUACCAGUUUAUAGUCCCAUCAGCUGUGUACAAGGAUUUUUGUCACACAAAACUUCAACACAUCCUUUUCUUUUUGUUAGUAGCCAUUUUAACAAGUGUGAUGUGAUAUCUCAUUGUGAUUUUGAUUUGCAUUUAUUUGGCAAUUAGUGAGGUUGAGCACCUCUUCAUAUACCCAUUGGCCAUUUGUAUGUCUUCUUUUGAGAAAUGCCUAUUCGGGUAACUUGACCAUUUUAAAAUCAGGUUGUUUACAUAUUUAUUUUGCUAUUGAGUUGUGUGAGUACCUUAUAUACUUUGGAUAUAAACUCCUUAUCAGGUAUAUAGUUUGCAAAUAUUUUCUUCCAUUCUCUACAUUGUCUUUUCAUGUUGUUGAUUGUUUCAUUUGCUGUACAGAAGUUUUUUAGUUUCAAAGAAGUAAUUCCACUUGUUUCUUUUUGUUAUUGUUGUCAUGGGCUUUUUAUGUCUUAUCGAAAAAAAUAAUGCCAACAGCAAUGUGAAAGUGCUUUUCUCCUAUGUUUUCUUCCAGGAGUUAUAUGGUUUCAGAUUUUACAUUUAAGUCUUUAAUCCAUUUAGAGUUAAUUUUUGUAUAUGGUAUGAGUCCUAUUUCAUUUUUUGCAUGUGGCUAUCCAGUUUUUGCAACACUACUUAUUAAAGGGAUUUCCCCCCCAAUUUUGUACUGGCACUUUGGUCAAAGAUUAGUUUACCACAUAUGCCUAGAUUUAUUUCUGGGCUCUGUAUUCUGUUUCAUUAAUCUAUCUGUCUGUUUUCAUGUCAGUACCAUACUGUUUUGAUUACUGUAGCUUUGUGUUAUAAUUUGAAAUUAUUGAGUGUGAUGCCUCUAGGUUUAUUCUUUUUACUCAAGAUUUCUUUGACUAUUGGAGGUCUUUUGUGGCUUAUAAAUUUUAGGAUUGUUUUUUCUAUUUCUGCAAAAAAUGUCAUCAGAAUUUUGACAGAGACUGCAUUAAAUCUGUAGACUACUUUGGGUAAUAUGGACAUCUUAGUAAUAUUAAUUAUUCCUUUCCAUGAACACAGAAUAUCUUUCCACUUUUUUUUUGUCUUCAGUUUUUUCAUCAAUAUCUCAUAUUUUCAAUGUACAGAUCUUUUACCUCCUUGUUAAAUGUAUUCUUUAAGUAUUGUAUUCUUUUUGAUGCCAUUGUAAAUGGAAUAAUGUUGUUAGUUUCCUUUUUGAAUAGUUUAUUGUUAGUGUAUAGAAACACUAAUGACUUUUCUGUGUCUAUUUUUUAUGCUGUAACUUUCCUGAAUUUAUUACUUUUAUCAGUUUUUUUUUGUGUGUAGAGUCUUUAGAGUUUUCUCUAUAUAAGAUCAUGUCAUUUGCAGAGACACUUUGAUUUCUUCCUUUUCAAUUUGGAUAAUUUCAUUUCUUUUUUUUUUGCCUAAUUGCAACAGCUAUAACUUCCAGUACUGUGGUGAAUAUAAAUGGCAAGAAUGGGCAUCCUUGUAUUUUUCCUUAUCUUAAAGGACAAUCUUUCAUCUUUUUACCAUUAAGUAUGAUGUAGACUGUGGGCUUGUCAUACAUGGCUUUUAUUAUUUUGAGACACAUUGCUUCUACACCUACUUUGUUGAGACUUUUACCAUAAAACACCAUUGAAUUUUGUCAAAUGCUUUUUCUGUAUCAAUUGAGAUGACCGU
rnacentral:lncRNA from 1 species